UACAGAGGGGGCAAGCGUUGUUCGGAAUUACUGGGCGUAAAGGGCGCGUAGGCGGCCUUCUAAGUCGAACGUGAAAUCCCUGGGCUCAACCCAGGAACUGCGUCCGAUACUGGAAGGCUUGAAUCCGGGAGAGGGAUGCGGAAUUCCAGGUGUAGCGGUGAAAUGCGUAGAUAUCUGGGAGGAACACCGGUGGCGAAGGCGGCAUCCUGGACCAACACUGACACUGAUGAGCGAAAGCCAGGGGAGCAAACAGG
rnacentral:rRNA from 1 species